rnacentral:rRNA from 1 species
GGGUAACGGGGUGUUAGGGCACGACACCGGAGAGGGAGCCUGAGAAACGGCUACCACAUCCAAGGAUGGCAGCAGGCGCGCAAAUUACCCAAUCCCGACACGGGGAGGUAGUGACAAUAAAUAACAAUACGGGGUUCUUUCGGAUCUCGUAAUUGGAAUGAGUACAAUUUAAAUCUCUUAACGAGGAACAAUUGGAGGGCAAGUCUGGUGCCAGCAGCCGCGGUAAUUCCAGCUCCAAUAGCGUAUAUUAAAGUUGUUGCAGUUAAAAAGCUCGUAGUUGAAUUUCGGGGUUAGUAGGUUGGUCAUGCCUCUGGUAUGUACUGGUCUCACUGAUUCCUCCUUCCUGAUGAACCGUAAUGCCAUUAAUUUGGUGUUGCGGGGAAUUUGGACUGUUACUUUGAAAAAAUUAGAGUGUUUAAAGCAAGCUAACGCUUGAAUACAUUAGCAUGGAAUAGUGAAAUAGGACGUUCGAUCCUAUUUUGUUGGUUUCUAGGAUUGACGUAAUGAUUAAUAGGGAUAGUUGGGGGCAUUAGUAUUCAAUUGUCAGAGGUGAAAUUCUUGGAUUUAUUGAAGGCUAACUACUGCGAAAGCAUUUGCCAAGGAUGUUUUCAUUAAUCAAGAACGAAAGUUAGGGGAUCGAAGACGAUCAGAUACC